AGGUGGUGCACCCCACACCAUACCAAUCGGGCCAGGAAUUGGGAAAUUGACUAGUUUCACCUGGUCAGGUGGUAUUGAUCGGCAAUUGCCGGUUCACCUCCCAAUCACAACCCGGAACCGAUUCAGGCCCAAGCCCCUCUGCUUUCCUCUCCUGUUAAUUUUUUAGCAGAUCCCAGCCCUAGGUGAUCGAUCAGUCCUUCACUUUCUCUUUCUCUCUCCCGCAAGUAAUGGGGUCUAGACGACAAGUGCACUGCCCUCGCCGACGGUCAUGAAGCUUGCUGGUCCUCAUCAUGUGAAUGCCCCCUCCAUCACAUCAUUGGUCCUCUUCGACCACAAAGGCAAUGACAAGAUCAUUGUCAAUGCCUCGUCUCUAUGCCGACCCCAACAAGCGUACUGCCAUUAUCCUUGCCUGCGUUCACCCUAGGGUUGGGCUGGAGAUGGGGAUCUUGAACCCCUCUGUCCCUCUUUAAAUGAAUGUAUUGUCAAUCUGAUGGGCUUGUGUUGCACAUGUGAGAUCAAGACUCGGGCUUGAUGCUGGUGUUGUAUUGGAAGCAAUGAUUGAGUCAAGUGGUUAACAAAAAGCUAAAGAUGAUACUCCUGAAUCAGUUAGAGCAACAAUGGAUGGCAUUUUAGAAGGGGUGAGACCGAAGCCUGGAGGUAUCUCUAUGACAUCGGAACAUAUAAGAGUAAUUCUUGACCAACUUUGUUGUCAAUCAUGCAUUUGGGGUGCAGGAGCAUCAUACACUGUUGAUUGUGAAUAUCACAUUUGUUGGGAAGAAGGAUGCACAAGAAAUUCUACACAAGCUUUGGAAGGAUGAAUACUUAGAUAUGGAGAUAUUGUGGAAGUGAAAGUGUUAUUAAAUUGGCAGUCUGAUAGUUCCUGCAGAAAGUUGUUUCACAUGCAGCUGGUCAGAAAGAACUUUUCUUGUGGAAAGUGAAAAAAGUUGCACAUUGGGAACAUAUCCUGAAUGAUAAGUACCAUGCUGCCUUAAAUUUGAGUCAAAAGAUUGCUUACAAUAUUGAACAGGAACAUGAGGUUUUGCAGCGAAGGGAAAAACCUGAACAACUGAAGAACAGUAGGAUGAUCUUAGAGUUAUCCUUACUGAAACUUGAUGAUGCUCUCUUGCUUUUCCACGACUUGUAACAACAUAGCAGGGGGCUGUCUGAAAAUGAAGUGGCAGUUUUUCCAACAUUUGGUGCUGUUGCACUCAAUGGAGAACAUUACAGGUGCUAUCUAAUUCUCUUCCUUUCCGUCCAACAUGUUAAAGUACGGCCGACUAUCUUGCAGCAUGGCGGACUAAUGUUCCCUGGUGGUCAUUAUUUUUUGUUUAUCAAUGUUUGCCUGACUUAAAAGGUUAUAAAGCAGCAUAGGAGAUACUAUAAAAAAAUUGAAAAUAUAGUUUCAAGCUUUAUCUUUCUUUCUAACUAAAAAUCAAUUUUUCAUUGCCCAUUAAAAAGCUAUUUUCCUGAGCCGAAUCUGGCUUCUCUCAGGCUGUAAGCACAAGCUCAUGCUAUAAUAAUUUAGGUUGAUUUGUAUUCUCUCCUUAGAA